rnacentral:rRNA from 1 species
UACGUAGGGUGCAAGCGUUGUCCGGAAUUAUUGGGCGUAAAGAGCUCGUAGGCGGUUUGUCGCGUCGAAUGUGAAAACCCGGGGCUCAACCCCGGGCCUGCAUUCGAUACGGGCAGACUAGAGUUCGGUAGGGGGAGUCUGGAAUUCCUGGUGUAGCGGUGAAAUGCGCAGAUAUCAGGAGGAACACCGGUGGCGAAGGCGGCAUCCUGGACCGGCAUUGACGCUGAGGCGCGAAAGCCAGGGGAGCAAACAGG